rnacentral:rRNA from 1 species
CCUACGGGUGGCAGCAGUGAGGAAUAUUGGUCAAUGGGCGCGAGCCUGAACCAGCCAAGUAGCGUGAAGGAGGACGGCCCUACGGGUUGUAAACCUCUUUUGCCGGGGAGCAACGGGCGCCACGUGUGGCGUCACUGAGAGUACUCGGAGAAAAAGCAUCGGCUAACUCAGGGCCAGCAGCCGCGGUAAUAGGGAGGAUGCGAGCGUUAUCCGGAUUUAUUGGGUUUAAAGGGUGCGUGGUGGGAUCGUUAAGUCAGUGGUCAAGUUUAGGGGCUCAACCCCUUCCCGCCAUUGAAACUGGCGUUCUUGAGUGGAAGAGAAGUAUGCGGAAUGCGUGGUGUAGCGGUGAAAUGCAUAGAUAUCACGCAGAACCCCGAUUGCGAAGGCAGCAUGCCGGCUUCCGACUGACGCUGAAGCACGAAAGCGUGGGGAUCGAACAGGAUUAGAUACCCGAGUAGUC